AGUGAACGCUGGCGGCAUGCCUUACACAUGCAAGUCGAACGGCAGCACGGGAGCUUGCUCCUGGUGGCGAGUGGCGAACGGGUGAGUAAUACAUCGGAACGUACCCAGUAGUGGGGGAUACCGCACCGAAAGGUGCGCUAAUACCGCAUACGACCUACCGGUGAAAGCGGGGGACCGUACGGCCUCGCGCUAUUGCAGCGGCCGAUGUCGGAUUAGCUAGUUGGCGGGGUAAUAGCCCACCAAGGCGACGAUCAGUAGCUGGUCUGAGAGGACGAUCAGCCACACUGGGACUGAGACACGGCCCAGACUCCUACGGGAGGCAGCAGUGGGGAAUUUUGGACAAUGGGGGCAACCCUGAUCCAGCAAUGCCGCGUGUGCGAAGAAGGCCUUCGGGUUGUAAAGCACUUUUGUCAGGGAAGAAAUCUUUCAGGCUAAUACCCUUGGAAGGAUGACGGUACCUGAAGAAUAAGCACCGGCUAACUACGUGCCAGCCGCCGCUGUAAUAC
rnacentral:rRNA from 1 species